AGGUAAUUAGCAGAGAAUGAAGGCGAGAAGGGGGAUCAAGACGGAUGUGUGACUCCUUGCGUCAACUGCAUCAUGUGGUCGGUGUCGGUGAAGCAGCUUUGUUCGUUGGAGGCCUGGAGCCCCUUCCAUGUCCAGAGUUUGGUCGUAUUGAUCACGUCCGACACUGUGAUGACGCCGGCCACUGGGCUAGUCCAGCCGUAGGCGU
rnacentral:lncRNA from 7 species